UACGGGGGGGGGCAAGCGUUGUUCGGAAUUACUGGGCGUAAAGGGCUCGUAGGUGGCCAACUAAGUCAGACGUGAAAUCCCUCGGCUUAACCGGGGAACUGCGUCUGAUACUGGAUGGCUAGAGAUUGGGAGAGGGAUGCGGAAUUCCAGGUGUAGCGGUGAAAUGCGUAGAUAUCGGGAGGAACACCAGUGGCGAAGGCGACUACCUGGCCCAUUCUUGACGCUGAGGCGCGAAAAGCUAGGGGAGCGAACGGG
rnacentral:rRNA from 1 species